rnacentral:rRNA from 1 species
AUGAAUCUGUUAAGCUGGAACUGCCGGGGUUUAGGCAACGCCCCGACAGUUCAAGAAUUGCGCGAACUCGCGUUAAAGUUUGCCCCUAGAGUACUUUGUAUUUUGGAAACGCAAAUUAGCCAAGAGAGAGCUGAAAGUUUAGCAUAUGAUAGUUCUUUUGCUGUUGGAUCCAUCGGUCAGAGCGGUGGCUUAGUUUUGUACUGGAACAAUGAAAUAAAAGUUGAAAUUUUGGGUUACUCGCAGUAUCACAUUGAUGUCAAGGUGUCGGAUCUGGGGGGGACCCGGUGGAGGCUCUCGUGUUUCUAUGGAGAAGCCCAGACACACCUAAGACACAGAACUUGGGACACAAUGAAGAACCUGGCAUCGCUACAACAUAUGCCGUGGGCAUGUUUAGGCGAUUUCAACGAGGUCCUUCGAUAUGAUGAGCAUGAUGGUGUUGGUCAGAGAAGCCAAACGCAAAUACAAGGUUUCAGAGAUGCGGUCGAUGUUUGUGGACUAAUUGAUCUUGGUUUCCAAGGCCAGAAGUGGACGUUUGAAACGAAAGUUACAGGAGGUACAUACACGAGGGUGCGGCUUGACAGAGCGCUCGGAUCUGCUGAGUGGUGCGCACAAUUCCCACUAGCAGUGGUAGAACAUCUUACUGGUGCAACCUCGGAUCACUCUCCUAUUUUGCUGAAGCUUGACCCACCUGCUAAAGGGCCGAUGAAAGAGAGACUGUUCCGUUACGAAUGCAUGUGGGACACGCGAAAGAACAUGCGGUGCCCCCAUGUUUGGUUUUGGUAA